AAACCGUUCGGGGGUAAACGGACAGAGCCCGUGAAUCCGGGCGACGGAAUUCAGAAUCGACGGCGUUCGCAGCGCCGUCGGUUCGAUAUUUCCGUCGCCAGCUCGAUUACACGGACGUCGCGACCCGUUCGGUGUCGGUCCGCAGGAGACGCGCGAAAGUUCGUGUGCGUCCGACGGGGUUUCGGCCUCGUUCGGGCGCGUCGCGAGUGCGCGUUCUUUUCUGGCCGACUCGCCGGACGGUAUGCGUAGCGGUGAUCGCGGCGGCCUCUCGUUAGCGCCGUCGCGUUACCGGUCUGCGACGAAUCUCGGSKCYUCYWKCCNA
rnacentral:rRNA from 1 species